rnacentral:rRNA from 1 species
UGGGGAAUAUUGCGCAAUGGGGGAAACCCUGAUGCAGCGACGCCGCGUGAGCGAAGAAGGUUUUCGAAUCGUAAAGCUCUGUCCUAUGAGAAGAUAAUGACGGUAUCAUAGGAGGAAGCCCCGGCUAAAUACGUGCCAGCAGCCGCGGUAAUACGUAUGGGGCGAGCGUUGUCCGGAAUUAUUGGGCGUAAAGGGUACGUAGGCGGUCUAUUAAGUCAGGUGUGAAAGCGUGAGGCUUAACCUCAUUAAGCACUUGAAACUGAUAGACUUGAGUGAAGGAGAGGAAAGUGGAAUUCCUAGUGUAGCGGUGAAAUGCGUAGAUAUUAGGAGGAAUACCGGUGGCGAAGGCGACUUUCUGGACUUUUACUGACGCUCAGGUACGAAAGCGUGGGGAGCAAACAGG